AUGAUGAAUAUUACAGCAGUGAGGAAUAUUGGUCAAUAGCCUAACGGCUGAACCAGCAACUUGGGGGAAUGUAUAGCAAUUGCUAUUUGCACUAAUGUUAUUAGUGUAAAAUUAACUACGUUAAAUAAAAUUCUGGGUAGAAUUAUGAUAAUGACAUUAUCUAUUCAUAAGUCUUGACCAAAUUACGUGCCAGCAGUCGCGGUAACACGUAGAAGACAAGUGUUAUUCAUCUUUAAUAGGUUUAAAGCGUACUUAGACAGCAAAUAAAGCCUCCAAAAGGGACUAGUUUGCUAGAGUUUUAUAUGAAGGGGUUUUAAAGUACUACUGGUGUAGAGAUGAAAUUCCGUUAUACCUUAAAUGGCACAGGUUAAGGCGAAGGCGUCCUCUUAUGUAAAAACUGACGUUGAAGGACGAAGGCUUUGUGUCUCGAACAGGAUUAGAUACCCUAGUAGUCUAAGCAGAAAAUGAUGAAUGUCAUGGAUUAGAUUUAAUUUGAUCUAUAAAUGAAAGUGUAAGCAUUCCACCUCAAGAGUAAUUUGGCAACAUUGGAACUGAAAUCAUUAGACCGUUUCUGAAACCAGUAGUGANGUAUGUUGUUUAAUUUGAUAACCCGCAAAAAACCUUACCACGAUUUGAAUAGAUAUAUUUUAUCAUACAAGUGCUGCACGGCUGUCUUCAGUUAAUGUCGUGAGACUUUGGUUAGUUCCUUUAAAUUAACGUAAACCCUUGCUUUAUUUUUAUAUAGAGUAGUUCACCGCUAUA
rnacentral:rRNA from 1 species